rnacentral:lncRNA from 1 species
AUCCUUUGCAGAAGAAGUGACCGUGUGACACAAUUGUGACCAAUAAAAUACAAUCAAGUCUCAGAGGAGGGGAGAACUAUGAAAAGGAAUGCUUUCAUGGACUCUUGCCUUUCAUCCUUUGUUUACCCUCCCACUUAGAACUUGAAGGUAAGGCAGACAUCUUUCCACAAUGAGGUUAAAAACUUCUUCAGGAAAAGAGUGGCACACGAUCAUCCAGACUCAUCAGGAAGCGAGAAGAUUGUGAGGAUUCCUGAGGAUGCAUUUGAAUCGGGCUGCCUUCUUAUCUAAAAAUAUAAUUCUUACUGAAGUCAUUUUAAAUUGCAUUUUCUGUUACGUUCCGUUGAACCAGUUCCCAUCUGAUAAACCAUGCAUGUAUUAUCACCUCAUGAAGGCCUUCUGCUUGUCUCCCUGGUCUUUUGGGGCUUUACCUUUCUCCUUAUUCUUGAACCUCAAGCAAUUUUCAUGUUCCUUCUAUCUGUAGUAGCAUUGUUGCCAGAGUUGCCCAUUCCACCAACUAUAGUCCCUAUGUAACUUCUAAAUGUUUCCACUUUGGUCUACCAACUAUGAUCUGCAUUUUCUUUUUCAGAAAGCUGGCUAUAUUUCAGAUGUUUGCAUGAUUUGCUCAUAUUCUGACAAAACUAUGGUAAUCCUUAGCAAUGUGCUAAGAACAGGGUCCUAAACAAGACUGGCUGGAAAUUCUAGACACAAGCUUCACAUUAACUCUACUAUAGUUUAAACAGCCGAGGCUAUUUCUAAAGACCUUCCUUAAUGUCAGUAUUUUUAUGAUCUUUUUCUUGGUUUUCUCAAUUCCCCAGAUACAAUCCUCUUAUUUCCUUCAUGGAAGAUGUAAGUACACAGCCCGUGUUUUAGGAACCACAGGGGAAAAAGUGGAGGAGUCUCAAUAUUCAUUUUAUAAACUUUUACUUCUCUUUAGUUUCCAGUGUGACCCACCUCUUCUUUUUAGUAUUGCCUUGCAGGAAUUCUGUGUUUUAACUGUUCCAGAGAAUAAACUCCAAAACUUCUCCCAAAGGGAAAGAAAGAUAGUUGCCAAACUGGCUGGGGCGGGGUGGGGGGGCGGUGUGUGGCAAUGAGAACUGUGGUAAGGGAUUUACUAUCUGCUUCUUGAACAGACUUAUAUUCUAUCACCACCAACUUCUGAGGCUUUGUGUGUUUUCUUCUAUAAACCAUGUUGUUUGGGCUGGGGGUGUAGCUCAGUGGCAGAGCUCUUGACUAGCAUGUGCAAGGCUUUGGGUUCAAGGAAAUGAAAAAAUCCAUUCAUUUAUCUGUCAAUGAAUCAAUGAUGUUGCUUCUUUGAUUUCCCUUUGCCAGCCUUGAUUUGAACUUGAAUGGGUCUCAGUCCAUUAUCAUUCAUUCCUCUGCUUUCACCUAUAAUAAUGUCUUCUUUCUUGAUAUAUUUUGCCUUCCUGGGUUUAUGUGUCAAAACAAAAUAAAAUCAAGGGAUAUUGGCCAAAUUAUAUUGUUCUAAUAUGUGCACGAACUAAUUUGCUGUUUAUGGAACAGCAAAUCUCACCAUUAUGCACAACUAUACUGCACCAAUAAAAAAUGCAGAGAAGGUAAUAAAAAAACAAACAAACAAACAAACAAAAAAUAAAAUCAAACAAAAUACUUUACAUAUUGUUUUUCUGGUGAUUUAGAAGGAAGCAGAAGUUACUACAUAUUUCUACCUUUAGCAAGAAAAUUAUUCUUUCAUUUCACAUUUUUUAUUAUUAAUAUAAAGAAACAUUCCCUGUAGUAAAUACUGAAAUGUAGUUAAAAAUUGCUAGGUAAAGUAAUUGUAUGUCUCUUGAGUUUAUUUUUCC